rnacentral:rRNA from 1 species
CGGAGGGUGCGAGCGUUGUUCGGAAUCACCGGGCGUAAAGCGCGUGUAGGCGGCCCACUAAGUCUGAUGUGAAAGCCCGGGGCUCACCCCCGGAAGUGCAUUGGAAACUGGUGGACUCGAGUCCCGGAGAGGAGAGUGGAAUUCCUGGUGUAGCGGUGAAAUGCGUAGAUAUCAGGAGGAACACCGGUGGCGAAGGCGGCUCUCUGGACGGUGACUGACGCUGAGACGCGAAAGCGUGGGGAGCAAACAGGAUUAGAUACCCUGGUAGUCCACGCCGUAAACGAUGAGCACUAGGUGUCGCGGGUAUUGACCCCUGCGGUGCCGACGCUAACGCAUUAAGUGCUCCGCCUGGGGAAUACGGCCGCAAGGUUA